GCGCUCGUAGCUCAGCUGGAUAGAGCACCAGACUACGAAUCUGGGGGUCAGGAGUUCGAAUCUCUUCGAGCGCG
rfam:Geobacter sulfurreducens PCA, complete genome.